CGAUGAUUAAGAUAGCUUGCUAUUUUUAUGAAGAGCGGCGAACGGGUGAGUAACGCGUGGGAAAUCUGCCGAGUAGCGGGGGACAACGUUUGGAAACGAACGCUAAUACCGCAUAACAAUGAGAAUCGCAUGAUUCUUAUUUAAAAGAAGCAAUUGCUUCACUACUUGAUGAUCCCGCGUUGUAUUAGCUAGUUGGUAGUGUAAAGGACUACCAAGGCGAUGAUACAUAGCCGACCUGAGAGGGUGAUCGGCCACACUGGGACUGAGACACGGCCCAGACUCCUACGGGAGGCAGCAGUAGGGAAUCUUCGGCAAUGGGGGCAACCCUGACCGAGCAACGCCGCGUGAGUGAAGAAGGUUUUCGGAUCGUAAAACUCUGUUGUUAGAGAAGAACGUUAAGUAGAGUGGAAAAUUACUUAAGUGACGGUAUCUAACCAGAAAGGGACGGCUAACUACGUGCCAGCAGCCGCGGUAAUACGUAGGUCCCAAGCGUUGUCCGGAUUUAUUGGGCGUAAAGCGAGCGCAGGUGGUUUCUUAAGUCUGAUGUAAAAGGCAGUGGCUCAACCAUUGUGUGCAUUGGAAACUGGGAGACUUGAGUGCAGGAGAGGAGAGUGGAAUUCCAUGUGGUAG
rnacentral:rRNA from 1 species